rnacentral:rRNA from 1 species
UACGGAGGGUGCUAACGUUAUCCGGAAUCACUGGGCGUAAAGAGCAUGUAGGUGGCUUGGUCAGUGGACGAUUAAAUACCGACGCUUAACGUCGGGAGUGUUGUCCAUACUGCCAGGCUAGAGGGAGACAGGGGCAAGCGGAACUUUAGGUGUAGGAGUGAAAUCCGUAGAUAUCUAAAGGAACACCAAUGGCGAAGGCAGCUUGCUGGGUCUUUUCUGACACUGAGAUGCUAAAGCGUGGGGAGCAAACGGG